rnacentral:rRNA from 1 species
CAGUAGCCGCGGUAAUACGAGGGGGGCAAGCGUUGUUCGGAAUUAUUGGGCGUAAAGGGUGCGUAGGCGGCUUGACAAGUCUUAUGUGAAAUCUAUGGGCUCAACCCAUAGUCUGCACGGGAAACUGUCGGGCUUGAGAAUAGGAGAGGUGAGUGGAAUUUCCGGUGUAGCGGUGAAAUGCGUAGAUAUCGGAAGGAACACCUGUGGCGAAAGCGGCUCACUGGACCAUUUCUGACGCUGAUGCACGAAAGCUAGGGGAGCAAACAGGAUUAGAUACCCCUGUAGUCCCUGUCUCUUAUAA